rnacentral:rRNA from 1 species
GAGUAACGCGGUGAGCAACCUGUCCUUCACAGGGGGAUAACACAGCGAAAGUUGUACGUAAUACCGCAUAAGACCACAGGGAGACAUCGUUCCAGGGGGUCAAAAGGAGCAAUCCGGUGAAGGGUGGGCUCGGACGUCCGAUUAGAUAGUUGGUGAGGUAACGGCCCACCAAGUCGACGAUCGGUAGCCGACCUGAGAGGGUGAUCGGCCACAUUGGGACUGAGACACGGCCCAAACUCCUACGGGAGGCUAGCAGUGGGGAAUAUUGGACAAUGGGGGAAACCCUGAUCCAGCGAACCGCCGCGUGAGUGAAGAAGUAUUUCGGUAUGUAAAGCUCUAGUCAGCAGGGAAGAUGAUGACGGUACCUGACUAAGAAGCACCGGCUAAAUACGUGCCAGCCGCCGC